AGUCAGCAGUCACCACCUCCCUGGGUGGAGGGCGAGCACCCUCCGUCCCUCCUGGGGAGCGGUGCUGAGGCAGCUUCCUGGUCUCUUACCAGGCCCACGGCAGGGCCGAGUCCCCAUGGCCACAGCGGUCACCUGUGCCAUCCUGUGGGCUUGCCUUUCCCUCUCUGCUUGCGUCCUCCCUUUCUCACCAUAUUUCCCAAAGUCACCUUCCAAAAAGUAACUUCCAAGUGAACCUUUCUUUUGGAGUCACCUUUUGGGGAAAUCCAAACUAGGCUAGAGCUCAAGCCCAGCGUGUGUGAAGAGCAUUUCUCUCCUGCUGGUUUUCUCAUCUCAGUCAAUGACAACAUCCCUGGCAGCCUCCCAUCUCAGAAACCAGAGGACCAUUUUUUAUUCUUCUAUGUUGGAAAACCCAUCUUUCAAUUUGCCACCAAUUUCUAUGAAUUACAACCUCAAAAAUCGCCUCUCUCUGAUUCACUCUUUCCUCACUCCCAGUUCUCUCUAGUUAAAACUCUCAGUGAAACACUGGAUAAUUUUUGUAGCUUAUAACUCUUUCAUCUAUUUAUAACUUAUCCUCUGUUCAAUCUAUUCUUUACAAAGUCACAUGACAUAUCUUUCAAAAACACACACUUGGCCACUUGUUGCCCUGUCCCAAACCUGCUGACAGCUCCUGGGCUCUGCACAUCCCUGCAGCCAGGUCCCUGCUCCAAGUCCCUCCCCUCUCACCAGCAACCCACUGUGCGCUCUCUACAUCCAAGUCCCCAGACACCCCCAUCUUUUUCAAUACUUUCUGGUGUUGAUCAACUAUUCCAAUGUAGCAUUGAGUACAUGUGUGAACUCCUUCAGGGUAGGGGACACUUCUAACAGGGCCAGUUUCUGUGUUUUCUGUCUAAAUGUUGCCUGGUACAAGAAAUGGGUGCUCAAUGGUCACAUCCUCCCAGGUCCUUUGGCCAAAAGCUGAGUGUCAUCCCAGACCCUUCCCUUUCUUUGUACCCCAUGUGUGCAAUCCUUGAAGACCCCCUGUUAAUUCUAUCUCAAAGCUACGCCUAAGGUCCUGUUGCUUUUCACCACCUCCCUGUUACUAAUAAGACCAAUCUUGCGUCCCCUGGAUGGCUGCAGGGUCCUCCUGUGAUCUUCUCACUUUCAUCCCACUAACUUGCAGUCUAUUUUCCGCAAAGUAGGUCGUCGUCUUUUAGGUAUUUAAGAAAAAAAUUCAGGGGUGGUGCCUGUGGCUCAAAGGAGUAGGGCACCAGCUCCAUAUACCGGAAGUGGUGGGUUCAAAUCCGGCCCUGGCCAAAAACUGCCAAAAAAACCCCCCAAAUUUCAGAUGAUUAUGGGGUUAUGUGCAUUUGGGUGCAUAGUUUGCUUUUAAGGUUAAAGUCAGAGCUGCAAGUGUAUCCUUCAUUGCCCUAGAUAGAUACCUGCAUACACAGAAAGAGUAAAGGACCCCAUUGGGCUGCGCAGGCUCAUGGCAGCCUGCAGGCCAGUGAUCUGCCCAAGGCAGCCCGGGUGCACCGGGGGUAACUGAUAGUACAGCAGUCGUACAUGAACCACUGGGUGGGAAUUACCCACCCCCUUUUCCCUCCCUGACACUCGAACGUCCUGAGUUUUUCAUCUCUGUGAGCACAGAGGUGCUCAGCUAUCCCAGCACAGAGUGAGUGCAUGUGGGUGAGUUUGGGUUUCCCUUCUUGCAAAACUCCACUUAGGGGCAUGGCCUCUGCUUUGACAGCGUCUUUUUAUUUUAUUUGACAGCCGUCUUUUAAAGAUGGAAGGUGAUUUGAGCCGCACUCUCCCCAAUACUCCCGAGUUUCAUUCCCAUUUCACUGAAAUCAAGUACAAAUUCCUGCAUGCUCAGCCCCACUGUGGCACGGAGGUCACCUACCAUUCUCUCCUCUGCUCGCGGCUCCAUCCCCACCAGUCUCAGGUCAUUCCGAAUGCUCUGUCCUCUCAGCAUCAUUGACACACUCACCUCCCUGUCGUUGGCCCAACAUCACUUUCUUCAUGAAAUCACCAAUAAUCCACUUGCCCAUAUCUCCCUCAUUCUCUGCUGUAUUUUUGUCUCCACGGGACUCGCUGGCUUUGAGCAUACGCUGAGACUCACUUAUUUCCUGGUUUAGUCCCUGCCUCUGCAUAUGAGAAACUCAUCCUUGCCUUUGCUGGGAGCCGAUGGGUGCCAGGGACAGGACAGGGAUGCUCAGUCACUCUUACCAGAGGGGUGCGGGGAGGAACAGUGUAACCACCUGCUGUGAGUGUCACUUGGGAUGUCCAGAACAGUUUGCAAAAGACAUGUCUCCGGAAGGGACCACCGGCAAAGUCCUCUUCUUGAACAGAUCAUGUUUGAUAAGUACAGAGUGAUUUAUGCAGCCAAACUCUCUAAAUAUAACGACAUUAAAAAUGCUUAAUGAAAUUAAUUUUAAUAUAAUAAUAUUUCAUUUAAUCCAUUCUUUCAAAAAAUUAUAUGAGCUUAUAAUCAAUAAAAAAUAUUAUUGACCUAUUUUACAUUCUUUUUUAUAUUAAGCUAUCAAAAGAUCGUGUGUCUAUUCCCCCCACGGGAACUGACGCCUUCCAACGGCCCAGCAGUCACCCGUGCUGCUGCAAUGGACCUAAUUUGGUGAAAAGUUGUGGUGGAAGGAAAUAGAGUGAAAUGACGCAGUGAUAUGUAACUGGGAAUUUGUUUGCCGACACUUUUAUGUGCAUUUUAAAAUGGUGUCUUCUGAGAUUCGCUUUUCCUGAUAUGGUGCCUGGGCUCCUCCUCUGGGGACACCUGACAGGACAAGGCAGCUGGUGCUUCCAAGUGCACAUGGGCUCCUCAGGAGAGGAAAGAUGAGGACCAGCCCCAUAACUGAGCCGUCCACACUGGAUGGCCCAGACAGGCCCUGAAGCAAAGGAAGCUUAGCGAAUAUUCUCAAAGAGACCAGGAGACACAACCAAGGACCCACUUCCAUAAAUAAAUUUUAAUUGUUGAAAUUAAAAGUG